rnacentral:rRNA from 1 species
GAGUUUGAUCCUGGCUCAGGACGAACGCUGGCGGCGCGCCUAACACAUGCAAGUCGAACGGAGCUUAGAGAGCUUGCUUUUUAAGCUUAGUGGCGAACGGGUGAGUAACGCGUGAGUAACCUGCCCUAGAGUGGGGGACAACAGUUGGAAACGACUGCUAAUACCGCAUAAGCCCACGGUACCGCAUGGUACUGAGGGAAAAGGAUUUAUUCGCUUUAGGAUGGACUCGCGUCCAAUUAGCUAGUUGGUGAGGUAACGGCCCACCAAGGCGACGAUUGGUAGCCGGACUGAGAGGUUGAACGGCCACAUUGGGACUGAGACACGGCCCAGACUCCUACGGGAGGCAGCAGUGGGGGAUAUUGCACAAUGGGGGAAACCCUGAUGCAGCGACGCCGCGUGGAGGAAGAAGGUUUUCGGAUUGUAAACUCCUGUCGUUAGGGACGAUAAUGACGGUACCUAACAAGAAAGCACCGGCUAACUACGUGCCAGCCGCCGCGGUAAUAC